GGCGCUCUGGAUUAGUUGAUUAAAGUGCCUGUCUCGUAAACAGGAGAUCCUGGGUUCAAUCCCAGCGGUGCCU
rnacentral:tRNA from 1 species